UGGGGAAUAUUGCACAAUGGGGGGAACCCUGAUGCAGCGACGCCGCGUGAGUGAAGAAGUAUUUCGGUAUGUAAAGCUCUGUCAGCAGGGAAGAAGCAGCGCCCGUUGGGCGCCGGACGGUACCUGACCAAGAAGCCCCGGCUAACUACGUGCCAGCAGCCGCGGUAAUACGUAGGGGGCAAGCGUUAUCCGGAUUCACUGGGUGUAAAGGGAGCGUAGACGGCGAUGCAAGUCUGGAGUGAAAGGCGGGGGCCCAACCCCCGGACUGCUCUGGAAACUGUGUGGCUGGAGUACAGGAGAGGUAAGUGGAAUUCCUAGUGUAGCGGUGAAAUGCGUAGAUAUUAGGAGGAACACCAGUGGCGAAGGCGGCUUACUGGACUGUGACUGACGUUGAGGCUCGAAAGCGUGGGGAGCAAACAGG
rnacentral:rRNA from 1 species